rnacentral:rRNA from 1 species
GACGAACGCUGGCGGCGUGCUUAACACAUGCAAGUCGAACGGUGAAGCGCCUUCCUUUUUGGUGGGUGUGGAUGAGUGGCGAACGGGUGAGUAACACGUGAGUAACCUGCCCCCUUCUUCUGGAUAACCGCAUGAAAGUGUGGCUAAUACGGGAUAUUCUGGGUCUGUCGCAUGAUGGGUCUGGGAAAGAUAUUGUUUCGGUGGGGGAUGGGCUCGCGGCCUAUCAGCUUGUUGGUGGGGUGAUGGCCUACCGAGGCGGUGACGGGUAGCCGGCCUGAGAGGGUGGACGGUCACACUGGGACUGAGACACGGCCCAGACUCCUACGGGAGGCAGCAGUGGGGAAUAUUGCACAAUGGGCGCAAGCCUGAUGCAGCGACGCCGCGUGAGGGAUGGAGGCCUUCGGGUUGUGAACCUCUUUCGCCAGUGAAGCAGGCCUGCCUCGUUUGUGGGUGGGUUGACGGUAGCUGGAGAAGAAGCGCCGGCUAACUACGUG